rnacentral:lncRNA from 1 species
ACAUCUUGGUCAUAGUGAAGGUCACACACACCCACGACGGUCCCGACGACCCCCCAGGACCAGGUCGUGACCCGUGAGUGACUGGCAGUGACGACCAUAAGUGAGAGGUCCCUGUGACGACUCUUGGAGGCAGCGAACUUGUUAUAGCACAGUUGUGUAAUAUAUACAGUGGUGAGUGAGGUCACUGUCCGUGGUGAGUGAGGUCACUGUCCGUGGUGACGACGGAGGGUCACCAUGAGAAGGAUGACGUCAGUGCUCCAGCUUGGGGUGGGUGUGGUGCUCUUGUUCACUGUGGUGGUGGUGGUGCCAGCCGCCUCACAACAAUGGUGCGACAGAGAGCUUCAUGAUAACUACGGCUGUCCGACCUACAUCCUAGCCUCUCCAGACGCUGGCAAGUGUCAGUUUGAGACCCGAGGUUCUCCUCCCUUCUCCUUCUACCUCAGACCCGGCCCAACCUUCACGUCCUUGCAAGUGAUACUCACAUGGACCUUGGGAGUGACUGAGACAAUUUACAUAGGCAGGGAUGUGCUGGAUCAACCAAACAAGUGGUACCGUAUACAGAUGACGUCGCACACAUCUCUUGUUGAUGAGACGUAUUACGUCUAUGUUGAUGGACAAGAACGGCGAAAGCUGCGGUCAAUAUUUCAGUGCCAACACUUUCGAUAUCUACGUCACUGGCUCACCAUACUAUGCUCGCGACUGUGACCCUAGUGACUACCCUCCUUCACGGUCGACACAACACCACCACCAGCAGCGCCUUCACCACCAACAACACCAUCUCCAGUUCAGUCUACUGACGAUGCAGUCAACCUUCCGGGGGUGGACUUAAGCUACCCUAAAGUUCCCCCACCAGCAAACACCACAGAAAACGGAGAAGCCGCCGAAGAACAUUCCACUACGGAGGACUCCAGUAAACCAGAAAACGACACCAUGGAGGCGACAACCAGUGUGCAGUAGACCCGAAAACUGGCUGGUGGUCGCUCGUGUUGACAACUCCUCAAGGAGCUUAUGAAGCAGCAAAAAAGCAGCUACAGGAUGUUUACUACUGGCGAGAAUAUUCUUGAGGCGUGGCCCAGCCUGGCACUGUGGCACUCUCACCAACACUCCCAUCUUGGUCAUAGUGAAGGUCACACACACCCACGACGGUCCCGACGACCCCCCAGGACCAGGUCGUGACCCGUGAGUGACUGGCAGUGACGACCAUAAGUGAGAGGUCCCUGUGACGACUCUUGGAGGCAGCGAACUUGUUAUAGCACAGUUGUGUAAUAUAUACAGUGGUGAGUGAGGUCACUGUCCGUGGUGAGUGAGGUCACUGUCCGUGGUGAGUGAGGUCACUGUCCGUGGUGAGUGAGGUCACUGUCCGUGGUGACGACGGAGGGUCACCAUGAGAAGGAUGACGUCAGUGCUCCAGCUUGGGGUGGGUGUGGUGCUCUUGUUCACUGUGGUGGUGGUGGUGCCAGCCGCCUCACAACAAUGGUGCAACUUCAUACUACAUGAUAACUACGGCUGCCAGACCUUUGCCUUGGCCUCCCGAGACGCUGAAAAGUGUCUUGUUACGUACAACAAUUAUCCUUUCUUCUCCUUCUUCCUCAGUCCCAGUACAACCUUCACGAACUUGCAAAUAAAAAUCACAUGGACCCAGAAAAGCCCUACGAUAAUUAAUAUUGGCAGGAAUGUGCUCAAGCAACCAAACAAGUGGUACCAUGUACAGAUGAUGUCCGACCCGAAUUUUAAUGUGUUAUAUAAAGUCUAUAUUGAUGGGCAACA